GUGAGGAAUAUUGGUCAAUGGGCGGGAGCCUGAACCAGCCAAGUCGCGUGAAGGAAGAAGGAUCUAUGGUUCGUAAACUUCUUUUGCAGGGGAAUAAAGUGCAGGACGUGUCCUGUUUUGUAUGUACCCUGAGAAUAAGGAUCGGCUAACUCCGUGCCAGCAGCCGCGGUAAUACGGAGGAUCCGAGCGUUAUCCGGAUUUAUUGGUUUUAAAGGGUGCGUAGGUGGUUUGAUAAGUCAGCGGUGAAAGUUUGCAGCUUAACUGUAAAAAUGCCGUUGAAACUGUCGGACUUGAGUGUAAAUGAGGUAGGCGGAAUGCGUGGUGUAGCGGUGAAAUGCAUAGAUAUCACGCAGAACUCCGAUUGCGAAGGCAGCUUACUAAGCUACAACUGACACUGAAGCACGAAAGCGUGGGGAUCAAACAGGAUUAGAAACCCUGGUAGUCC
rnacentral:rRNA from 1 species